CACAAGCCAAGCCAUUGAACAGUUAGUUUUCAGGACUCAGGAGGAGUGGUUCCUACUUCCUAGCUGCUAGCAUGUACUGUAGUAGCUAAUUAAGCUGCUAGCUCAUCGCUGGAUAGAUGUCUGAACAAGCUUAAUUUGGCACUUGUGUAUUCUGACCACGAUCUCUUCUAGUACUACUUGUGUGGUGCUAUUGUCUGGAGCUUUAACGGAAGAUGCAUCCAAGAGAAAGACAUGUUGUGCUGGCUCCGAUCGAAUACACGCAUGCAUGGCGAGGCAGCCAGGGGACGUCGUCAUGGUGGCGUCGUUGUUCCGGCUGCAUAGUCAGCCUUGUCAACGACGAUUGUGGCAGCGUUGGGUACUUCACCAACCAAAGGGGUUUAUAGUGAUGCCGAGCGAGGUCACUGAACAUGGUGUGUAAUGUUAGAUUGUUUUUAAUGGGUAGACAUAUUUUUUAUGUACAACUAAACUCACUGCUUGCGCAUGUUCCUAUUAUGGGGCGUGCCCCGAGCGAAGAUUUUAAUUAUGAUUUUGGCAUAAAGGUGGAGCUUUCG
rnacentral:lncRNA from 7 species